AGGGAGGGCACUAGGUGCACGGAGGGGCGGGCCCGGCUGCGCUCCUUCCAGCGCUGCUGGGGAGCGGUGGAUGAGACCCGUGACCCAGCUCGGAGCCUGGGAUUGCGACCCGGGCCCCGCACAAUCUCCUGCACCAAGCCCGUGUCCUCCCGGAAUCCCAGAUUUCCUGCUGAGGGGUCGCGGGCCUCGGCCAAGCGGGGGUCUCUGCAUCCAAAGGACAGGAUAAACCCCGCGAGCUCUCAGAGUCCCUGCUCCAGAGCGGUCCCCUGAGAAAGCAACCACGGAGCUGGAGGCCAGCAAGAAGGUGUCUGCUGAAGGAAGGAAGGAGAGUAAAUGAAGAGAAAGGACUGGACUCACUCCCUGGGAUCCAGAGUUACCUGGGCUGCCCGUGAGAAGGAGGCCAGGAGAGAGGACCACAGAGUCAUGGUCACACAAGGCAUGAGGGUGCCUGGCGUGUGGUUCCCCAGGAUCGUGGCAUUCUCAGGAGAGACCCUGGGUCCCUGAUACUCCUGCCUCAUGCAAACAAGCUUGGCUGAAGAUUCCUGGUCUUGUGAAAGCCACAGCCCCACCUGGGUGUGCCCAGGGCAAUGGUGGGAGCCCUGAAGAUGCCUCAUGGCUACUGAGGGUGCUGCAAGUUGGAGAACCAGAGUGGUGGGCAUGGUGUGCAGCCUGUGGGCCCUGAUCCUGGGGCCUUCAGUGCUGGCUCUGGAAGGAAAUUGGCUGGAUGAGGUUGGCAGCUGGAGACUGGAUGGUGAAUAAGCGCCAAGAUCACUGAAGACUACGAGACAUGUAGAGGAAUAGAGAGAGAGACUGAUGACCCGGUAAAGAAGAAACAAUGCGCAAUCUCUACUUCAGGUAAGUGGCACGCACAUGAUCCUGUGUCUGAUGCUGGGCCGUGCAGGAAGCUGUUGUGCUCAGCACCUCAUUGAAGAAGGUGAGCAUCUGACACCCCAUAGUGUGGGGCGGCAUCCACAGUAUUUGGAUAUCGUGCUUUGUGGUUUUUUCUUACCAUCGUGUUCACAGAACAACCAUCUGUUAAGAUUUAUAUCCCCAAGAGCCUCAUGUCCUCAUAGACCGGGCUUUAGGAAGGUGACUGGAUUAUGGGAUGGGUGGGGCUGGACUGAAGAGGUGGGUCACCAUGGAGUAAACUUCCUGGCUCCUCUCUUGACACUGCUUCCUGAGCCCCAUGACCUGAGCAGCUGUGUUUUGAGUGACACUGUGCCAUGCGACCCUAGACUGAAACCUGUACAAAUCAUGAAUCAAAUAUUCCUCUCCUCAUUUAGGUUGUGAGUAUCAUGCAUUGUGUCACAAGGAUAAGGAAAGUGACUAAGACACUACAUACGGGUAUACAUGAAAUAUUCAGCAUUAUAUUGUGCAAUAGUGCUUGCAUUCAAUGAUUUCACUCUAAUGCAGGCUACUGUGAGUGUUCUGGGCAUGUGUAAGCAGGCAGGGCUAAGCUAGGAUGCGCAGUAGGUCAGACACAUUAAAUGUAUUUUUAAACUACGCAAUUUUCAAAUUAAGAUGUGCUUAUGGGACAGACCCCAUCAUGAAGUACAGGAAUAUUCGUAAUUGUUAUUAGAAAAGUCACCUCCAAUGAGAAUAGAGCUAGAGAAACUCGAAGAAGCUAAAGGAAGAGACACAGGAGUGAGGAGCAGAGGUGGGAGAGAAGGGAGUGUUUAUGAGUACACAGUAUAGCAGGACUGGCUCAGCUGGCUGACAGCAAGACAGAAAAAGGGCCCAAUAGAGAACGAUGAGAGGGCUCCACACCACAAUACAGCUUGAUUCUGCUACUGAGUGACAGCACCCUUUCUAAUAUAGUGAGCCUCCUAAGAAAAGACCAUCAUCUCAACCUUGCAGGAGAGCUGUGUGGGGAUCACAGAAGUUAGCAAACAGCUCGGAAGUGAUAGAAGUUGUCUUUCAACUCAGGUCUGGCUGACGUCAAAGUGCCCUCUUGGCGCUUCCCAACCGUGGCAGCUGAGAGAUGCCACAAACACGUGUGCACAUCACAGAUGGCCAACACGCAGACUCAGUGACGUGGGCUACAUUUAAAUAUAGUAUGCUGAUGUUCUGACGCACGACAUACCCACCAGCAGAAAUACUGCUGCCUUUGUGAUUUUGUCCUGUGUGGGUCUUUUCAUUGAAAGAGAAAUGAAGCCAUCCCAUUAUGGUUACUGCCCUCUAAAGACCACAAUGCCAAAUCUAAGGGUCAUGCUUUCUUCGAGGUGCGCCUCUAUCCCCACCUCGCGGCCGCUCUCAGUAAUGCAGGGAGAAUAGCUAUGAGCGCCGGGGAAGCCGGCUGACGGGCAUCCUGACAUCAAGUGAAGUUUCUGGACUUUUCAGUAGGAUGAAAUCCCAUAAACCGUCGCAAAUUAAAAAUAUUGUAACUCAGAAAUGCUCCAAUCUAAUAAACAGUAAGAUGAAAAGAGAAGCCUGGAAUCAACCCCUACGGACACUACUAGAUUAUUUCAUGCUAUGCUACACUCAAAAAAAGAAAACAGGGAGUUGUCAGAGCUGUCAGACAACAAACCCAAGAUCUCCUAAAGACUAAAAGGUUGUAGGAUUCAAGUUCAGGUCCAAGAUUUCAGGUCCUGUUUUUCUAUCACAGCAUAGCACCGUUCUUUGAAUGCAUUUGAAAUUAACCUUAGAGUUCAUUUAGAAUUUUAUUUGCUUGUUGAAUUACAAAUAAAUAUUUAUGUUAAAAGAGUUCAAAAAUAUAAAAUCACGGGGUCGGAUGAAAAGCAAUCUCACUGCUACUUAUUGCCAUCUGGUUCCCUUCAUGGAGGCAGCUCUGUGCUACCAGUGCCUUGUAGAUCUUUCCAGAAUACAUUGUCUAUGCGUAUGAUUAACUAGUGGUAGCAUCAAAAUGACUACAUCUCCAAUACUGUAAGAAACCCCAUUAUUAUAACUGAAGCAGGAAGUCUCAACACGAGGUUAAUUUAAACAUCAGAACCAAAACUACUUUAUUUGCUCUAACAAAAUUUCCAGCUCAAUCAAAAGCUAAGCACAGAGGAUUUUCAAAAUAAAAUAUGCUAAUUCUCCUUUCAGUCAUUAGAAUAGCUUUGAGCGGAUACUAAAUUAAAUUUUCUUCAAAGCUUAUAUGCAUUCCUCAAGCCCUGUUAGAAAGCUCCAGAGUGUUCUGCUUUUCUCCUUCUUUUAUUAAAAAUGUGUUUCUUAUUUCCAUAUCUUUCUCUUUGUUAUUAAAUUGACCCUUCACUAUCCAAGUGGAUUUGCCUAGAGAUACUGCACGGAAAGAGUCCUACCACACAGUGCCAGUCUGGAAUUCAUUUCUGGUUGUAUUGUAGACAAGCUGGAUGGCCAUUUCUUUACCACAAUGCCUUGACAUUUAACAAAAUGUUCAUAAGCCCUUUCCCCACAUGGUGUUUUGUCAGUAUGCGUCCAGUUUUCACAUGUAAACUGAAUCAGCUCCUUCUCACUCAGAUCUGAGCACAUUUUUGCAAGAGGUCCUAUUUUUAGCCAAGCCACAGCUGAGCUUCACUUUCAGCUAAUUAGUACUUGUUCUUAAAUCAGGCAGUUCUAAGCCAGGCGAGGCAACAAGAUGCAAUUCAUUUCUUCUCUUCGCUCCUAAAAUUAACUGAGCUGUAAAAUAUGAACAUUCUCUUGUUUUUCCUUUUGUCUACCCCAGGGUUUGGUUCCAUCGUAAAGAAUUCAACAGAAUCAGAACAUGUCAACAAAUCUCGCUGUUCAAAUUUGAACAGUGACGGAAUAUUUUCUUUUAAAACCUCAGCUUUUUGGUUGCCAAGCAACCAUUCAUUUAUUGUAACUAACUAGUUUUAAAAAUGCUUGCAAUAGUUAACAAUGAUGGUAUGGCUCACAAGCUCCGAAACAUAUACAGCAUUGGCCAGAUCAGAAGGUAUGUGAUAGCUUGCAGUAUCAAAAAACAGAACAAAAAAGUCAUAAGAGAUGCCUCUUGAGAUUUGUGUAUUCCCUCACUUAGGGAACAUAGAGAUCUGUGAGGUUACACAAUUUGAUGCCUACAAAACUGGAGAGAUCUUAGGCACUCAAACGUUCUGUCCCUAAAAGAAGUAUGAUUUGAACGAGGAGCAAGACAUGCAUCCCUGGAAGGUUUUAUUCAUUUCAUUAGUUUAGUUCAUUUAAAUCCAUUUUAAGUAAACCAAUAAACUGGUUUGUAGCCAAGUUAUUAAAUAAGUUAAUUUUAAUGGGACAGAAAUAGAAAAGUGCUUCAUUUAUAUUUUUCCAUCCAUUGCCUUUGACAUGUUCCAUCAAAUCCUCCUUCCCUAUGUGAUAUUUAGGGCAGAUCUUGGCUAUAUUAGAGCUCUAAUAUUACAACUAAUUUAAAGAAUUUCUUCUCUUCUUAUCAUGCCUAAACAACAACUUAGAGACCUCCAGGUGGAGAAAAGUCAUGGCUUGCUCUUUCAUCCCUCCUUACUGAUCCAUGCCAAUUCCCCAUCUCUGCCCAGGAUUGUCUGCUAUAAGCAAAGGAAUGGGGAGAACAGGAGGAAGAGUUGGAGGUCUUUUACUGUUGCCUGGAACUCUUUGCUCUUUGCUCAGCUGUGAAUGCCCUUUGUGGUAGGUGUCCAAAUGAUAUCAUUGCCACUGGGCACAUUCAUGACUUCUUCAAUACUCUGGAAGGACACGUGUAAUUCACAUUGCUUUUCAACCACUUUCAAUUCUUCUAUGAGUGUUCAGCUUAUCCCUUUUGGUGCUAGGAUAUCUGUAUCUGCACAGUUGGCCUUCCUGCAUGAAGAUGUCACAACAUAACCCACACUUCCUAUGUAUGCACUUAGCUCAGUCUGCUGAUUCAGGGCAGUAGUUCAAGCUCACUGUCAUCUUCCCUACUGAUGAAGCAAGAGCAACCCUGUUCUCCUGACUCUAAGGGAAUAUAUCCCCACUUGACUAGGAGGAAGGGCUCUCCCCUAUUCUGUUUAGAGGUACCAGGCUGGAUCAGCCUGGUUCUGCAUCCAACAAGGCUGGGUUAAAAUAAGAGACUUAAGCUCUGUGAAGUAAAUGACACGCAUCACCUUUUCUUGCCUUAGGCAUAUGGAGAAGGAGCUAUGGAAUUUAUCUUCGGAGAAUUUUUUUUUCUCCAGUGGGGUACACAGAGUUGUCCUUUGUCCUUCCGUCAGGAUGGAAUGUAAAAUGAAGGUCAAUGGAUAGCCCAUAUUGUGGAGUUGUCUCUGGUGCUUUUCCUUUAUCUUUUAUUAAUACUAAUCAUCUAUUUCCUGAGGUUUGGAUUUCACAAUUCUAGAGCAUUGAAAAUGUCCAUUCCAAUAGGUUAUUAUGGAAACAAGUCACUAAAUGAGCAACAUUUCUGCGGUGGAAACAAAAUCCUAGGGUAUGACCAUGGCCUAUCUUGAAGUUCUUUAGGUUUGCUCAGAUACCUUUUAUUUACUCAGGUGGAAAACUAGAUGGAAAAUCAGAAUUGGAACAAAGAUAUGAGUCACACUAAGCGAAUAAGGAAGAUGUGAUCAAGCAGCACUAGAAAGUCUGGAAAGGGAGACAAGGGACAAUACUAACUACACUGUGAGCUCAUUCACAGCAAGGCCACCCCAUGCUAGGUUGGGCUUUCCAUGAAAUAGACAUCAAGGUGAUCAGAAGUCUAUGAAAUUUCUUACAGCAAGUGUGGCAGGAGAAAGAGAAGAAAGCAAGAGGUCCUGAAGGCAAAGAAAGCCAACACACUCCAAUGAAGAUGUGAGUGUUGUGAAGGAGAGAGGAAAGAUGGGUGAGUUCACAGAAGAUUCUAGGACUGCAGGUAAGUUCUAACAAAGUUCAUCAAUCCCAUCAAGCUCGUCCUAAGCCUCUCUGAGCUGCCUCUGGUGCUACAAUCAUCAGCUAAGAGUAGUUCUUGGGAAACAUGACCCUAGUGAAGAUGAAUGAAGAUUUUUGAACAAUAGCAGCUAGUGGUGCAAGCCCAUUGCAUUCCUUGACAUUAGAAAUGUAAGAGUUGCAUUUGCAAAGCCACUAUGAGCUCUAAUAAAUGAUUUUCUUAUCUUUGCUUAACCAUUCCAUUGCCAUUCAAGCUUACCCUUCCUCUCCUGCCAAGUGUAUAUUUGUAUACUACAAUAUACACACACUACACAUAAUUUCCAUUUAUUUUUGGCCCAGAGCAAGAUGGCUUCUCCCACUGCCUGCUGACACCUCUCAGCUAGUAAUAAUGCCUUCCAAGAAAUCCUAUUUCUAAGGUUCCAUGAAUUUGAAGCUUAGAAAUAUAGUCAAUCAGAAAAAGUUGUGGAUACAGAGAUUUAUGGAGAGUCAAAAAUCUGAGGGAGAGAAUGGGUAAUAAAGAUUUGAAUGUAUUAUGAAACAGAGUGGGAGAAAAUAGGGCAGAGAGAUUGAAGAACAGUGUGGACUUCAGAAUGAUUUCUGAGAUUGGGAUAUGGAAAGAUCUUUUCAGACUUGCAGCCCAAGGAGAGCCUGGGGCUUCUUGGCCAUGUGUAAAUUGAAGGGAAAAAACAGCCAAUCAAAUCUGCCAUCUUUCAGAUUGGCCAGAAUGGCCAGAUUGGCCAGAAUGGCAGACUGGCAGAAGACAUUUGCCUCAGUCUCUGUUCUCCCCAGAGGCAAUAAGGUUGGUGAGGAAGGGACUUUUUUCUGCCUCCCCUUUCAUUGUUUAUGCUAAACUUCUGUUAAACUGAUUUCCGUAUUCCUCAGGUCCUUUCUCCAGUGCAGGACUCCUGCCUGUGCUCCUGGAGAGAAGAUGGAUCAAACUGUUGGGAGCCAUCACAUGUUACAUAUCUCAUGAAAUGACAGGUCUUCGAGUUAACUAUAUAUUUGCCCUCUAAGCCGAGUAAAUUACUUAAAAUUUCUGGUGAAUUAGACAGUAUAAUUAAUCAAGAGAAAAAAUGCAACUGUAAGACACUGGAAGGAGGGAAGAAAAAUUAACCAUUUUUCAAAUAAUAUGUGUAUUUUGAAAGCUGAGAAAUUAAACUAAAAAGCAGUAAUGGAACCCAAACAUACUCAGAAUCAAAAGCUUUCACAUGUUAAAAACCGUGGCCAGUUAGAAAAUAUAGUGGUGAAAAAGGAUCUCAUUUUGAAAAUGUCAACAAAGGAAUAUAAUAUUAUUAUGAACAGAUUCAAAAAGACAAGAGUCACAUAAAGGAAACUUUAAACUGUUCUUGGGAACUACAAAAAAAGACUUGCACAGAUGGGCUCAACAAUACGAAGAGGUCACUUUUCUCUUCUUCUGUAUAAACAAAAAUCAUACAACUACAUUUAAAAUGUCAAUAGGUUUUUGUUUUUAGUUAGAAAGAUUAUAUUUUGUAUGGAAAAAUAAAAAGCAAAAAACAGUCAAAAUAUUUCAUGGACGUAUAAGAAGGAAGCACUAUUAUAAACAAAUUAUAUUGUUAUAAUUAAAAUAUUCAGGUAAUGUUACUGGAAAGAGAUGAAUUAUUCAAAUGGUGACAAAAACUGUAAUUAUCUAGAAAAUAUUAAGUUAAAUUUACAUUGUUAAAUAGGUUUGAAAUGGGCCAAAGGAAAUGUGUUAUUUAUAUGCAGUGCAAUACUGUUCUGCUAUACAGAAGGAUAAAUUUCAGUAAUUUAUAGGAAAAUGGAUUCAGCUUCAGACUUAUGCAAAAUAAAUCAGACACGUGAGCUUAAACAUUAAAUAGUUUUUCUUAUAUGAGAAAGUAAAUAUAUGAAUAAAGAGGAAAAUAAAAGACAAAUAAUAGGAAGUAGAUCUUUUUCAAAUGCGAAGGAGAUCAAAGAUCAAGGGAGGGUGGGAAGGAAAGGAGAGUAAGGGAAUGAAAGAAGAAUGGAGAUGUAUGUAUCAGGUACACAGACCAACUUCCCACUAGGACUGUAAUCAGCUUGCACUACAAGCAUGUACUAAUAAUAAUAAAGACUGAAAAAAUAUUUAAAUAUAAAAAAUGAAACAUUAAUGUAAGAAAAGAUCCCACUGUCACAGAACCCUGGCUCCGUGAUUAGGACAGAUUGCCAGCCUGGAAUAAGUCACAUCGGAUUCCCCUGAUUGGCGAGGAUGCAGGAAAAGAGGCACUGAAGACAGCAUUCAAAGCAAAUGCUGAGGAGAUUCUCUGGCAGCAGUACAAAGCCUGCAAAAGUAGAAAAGGAACCGUCAACCCUGACUAAGCCUUGAAAUGCUACAUUUUCAAGGUGAAGAUGCGUGGGUACCUGUUAUGGCAAAUUACAACCCAUCUCACCCACUGUGAAAAUAAGGACCUGUCUUUUUCAUAGACUGACAAGGCUGAUAGAUUGUUGGGCUCUUCACUCUUUAAAACAGUAAUAAAAUGCACAUGGUAGUGGAUAAGAUAUUUUUAAGCAAACAAUAAAGCAUGAAAAUAACAAAAGAAAAGGUUGAAAAAUACAACUUUAUGAAACAUUUUUGAAAAGAAGUCACUACGGUUCAUAACCACCUCAAAGUACAAACAAAAAUAAAAAUAAAUGAAGGAAAGAUACCCCCUAUUUCUGGAUAGACAAGACCAUUAUUGUCAAAAUGGCUAUACUACCAAAACUGAUAUGUAGAUUUAAUGGAAUCACAAUCAAAAUACCAAUAGCAUUCCUUACAGAACUAGAUAAAACGGGCUGGGGAUUUAGCUCAGCGGCAUAAGCACCUGUCUUGCAAGCAGGCGGUCGUGAGUUCAAUCCCCGGUACCGAUUUAAAAAAAAGAAAAGAAAAGAACGAGAUAAAACAAUUCUCAGAGGCAUAUGGAUCAAGAAGAUACCCAAAUUGCACCUGGGGAUACAGCUCAGCAGUGCCAGUGUAACGCCUGCCUGGCAAGUGCAAGGUCCUGAGCUCAAUUCCCCGUACAAAAAAAAAAAAAAAAAAAGACUCAGAACAGCUACAGCUUUUGUUUGCAACAAGAGCAAAGCAGGAGGCAUCAUGAUACAUGAGUUCAAGUUAUAUUACUGAGCUAGUGAUAAUAACAGCAUGGUACUGGCCCAAAAACAGACAAGUGGAUUAAAGGGACAGCAUAGAGACCCCAGAAACAAUCCCAGAUACAUUCCGCCACCUGAUCUUUGACAAAGGAGCUUUUAUUUUAGGGGAGGGGAUUACUUAAAUUAUGUAAUGUUUAUUUUAAAGAGAGUAAAGCUAAGCAGAAUAAAUCCAAUUAAAACAAAUUAGUGUGAUAUAGAACUUCAAAACAAGAUAAUAGGAAAUCAAUAGUGGUUAUUAUAAUGCCUCUCAUUGUCUUCAAAAUAGCUGCCCAUACUUUCAGAUGUAAUAAACUCAAGCAAAAUAGAGCAGGAUAGAACCAAUAAAAAUAAAACAAUGAAUGCAAUAAAGGACUUCAAAACAAGGUAACAGGAAACCCAAAAUGGCUACCGUAAUAUGUCUUGUUAUCUUUGAAAUAACUGCCCAUGCCAUCAGACAUAAUAAAAUCAAACAAGAAAAAGCAGAAUAAAACUCAGCCAAAUAAAACAAUGAAAAUGACACCAGAAUUCAAAACAAGAUAAUAGGGAGUUAACUAUGGCUAUCACCUUCAGAAGGAGCAUCCUCAUAGAUGCUAUGUUGUAUAUUUUUAUCCUCUAAAUAGAUGAUCAGACUACUGGCUUUAGACCUACAAAGUCAGUGAGACACUGACUUUGAAUCACUGUGAAACACAAUGAAACACUGACAGUGAAUCAGUAGUAUUCAUUUUGUUUUACCUCAAAAGCUAUCCUCUUGGCCUGAGUUUCUUUGAAUCAGCCCGUCCCUUGUCGGUGAUUGGGGGAUGCAUUUGUUCUUCUAGUCUCUCAGCCCAUGCAGUGGAAGGGGCUGGCAUCUGGUUCUCCUCUCAGUGGCCUGCACGUGGCACUGACUCACAGGAAGAGCUUGGCUUCUUGUUGGAUUCCUGUUCCCCUCCCCCACAGUCUGUGAAUGGCGCUGACUCACAGGAAAAGGCUGGCAUCUUGUUCUCCUCCCAGCAACCCACACAUGGUACCAACUCGCAGGAAGGGCUUCGUUUCUUGUUGGCUUCUUGUUCUCCUCCUGCACAGUCUGCAAAUGACACCAACUCACAGGAAAGGGCUGGCAUCUCAGCAAAGGAUCUUUGACAAAUGGACCAGAAUGUGUGCUGGAGGAAUGAUAGCAUCUUUAGAAAAUGGUGCUGGGAUAACUGGCUUUCCACAUGCAGAAGAUUGAAGCUAGACCCAUAUCUCUCAUCAGGCACUAAAGUCUAAAUGGAUCAAAGGUCAAAAUAACAAUCUGCUGGAAGACAAAUGGGAAGAACUCUUAAAGUAACAAGUGUAGGAAGCAGCCUGUAUAUCCAUAACAAACAAAUAAACAAAGAAAAUGUGGUA